GAUUAAGUUAUUAAGGGCGCACGGUGGAUGCCUUGGCACUAGAAGCCGAUGAAGGACGUUACUAACGACGAUAUGCUUUGGGGAGCUGUAAGUAAGCUUUGAUCCAGAGAUUUCCGAAUGGGGAAACCCAGCAUGAGUUAUGUCAUGUUAUCGAUAUGUGAAUACAUAGCAUAUCAGAAGGCACACCCGGAGAACUGAAACAUCUUAGUACCCGGAGGAAGAGAAAGAAAAUUCGAUUCCCUUAGUAGCGGCGAGCGAAACGGGAAGAGCCCAAACCAACAAGCUUGCUUGUUGGGGUUGUAGGACACUCUAUACGGAGUUACAAAGGACGACAUUAGACGAAUCAUCUGGAAAGAUGAAUCAAAGAAGGUAAUAAUCCUGUAGUCGAAAAUGUUGUCUCUCUUGAGUGGAUCCUGAGUACGACGGAGCACGUGAAAUUCCGUCGGAAUCUGGGAGGACCAUCUCCUAAGGCUAAAUACUCUCUAGUGACCGAUAGUGAACCAGUACCGUGAGGGAAAGGUGAAAAGCACCCCGGAAGGGGAGUGAAAUAGAACCUGAAACCGUGUGCUUACAAGUAGUCAGAGCCCGUUAAUGGGUGAUGGCGUGCCUUUUGUAGAAUGAACCGGCGAGUUACGAUUUGAUGCAAGGUUAAGCAGUAAAUGUGGAGCCGUAGCGAAAGCGAGUCUGAAUAGGGCGUUUAGUAUUUGGUCGUAGACCCGAAACCAGGUGAUCUACCCUUGGUCAGGUUGAAGUUCAGGUAACACUGAAUGGAGGACCGAACCGACUUACGUUGAAAAGUGAGCGGAUGAACUGAGGGUAGCGGAGAAAUUCCAAUCGAACCUGGAGAUAGCUGGUUCUCUCCGAAAUAGCUUUAGGGCUAGCCUCAAGUGAUGAUUAUUGGAGGUAGAGCACUGUUUGGACGAGGGGCCCCUCUCGGGUUACCGAAUUCAGACAAACUCCGAAUGCCAAUUAAUUUAACUUGGGAGUCAGAACAUGGGUGAUAAGGUCCGUGUUCGAAAGGGAAACAGCCCAGACCACCAGCUAAGGUCCCAAAAUAUAUGUUAAGUGGAAAAGGAUGUGGCGUUGCCCAGACAACUAGGAUGUUGGCUUAGAAGCAGCCAUCAUUUAAAGAGUGCGUAAUAGCUCACUAGUCGAGUGACACUGCGCCGAAAAUGUACCGGGGCUAAACAUAUUACCGAAGCUGUGGAUUGUCCUUUGGACAAUGGUAGGAGAGCGUUCUAAGGGCGUUGAAGCAUGAUCGUAAGGACAUGUGGAGCGCUUAGAAGUGAGAAUGCCGGUGUGAGUAGCGAAAGACGGGUGAGAAUCCCGUCCACCGAUUGACUAAGGUUUCCAGAGGAAGGCUCGUCCGCUCUGGGUUAGUCGGGUCCUAAGCUGAGGCCGACAGGCGUAGGCGAUGGAUAACAGGUUGAUAUUCCUGUACCACCUAUAAUCGUUUUAAUCGAUGGGGGGACGCAGUAGGAUAGGCGAAGCGUGCGAUUGGAUUGCACGUCUAAGCAGUAAGGCUGAGUAUUAGGCAAAUCCGGUACUCGUUAAGGCUGAGCUGUGAUGGGGAGAAGACAUUGAGUCUUCGAGUCGUUGAUUUCACACUGCCGAGAAAAGCCUCUAGAUAGAAAAUAGGUGCCCGUACCGCAAACCGACACAGGUAGUCAAGAUGAGAAUUCUAAGGUGAGCGAGCGAACUCUCGUUAAGGAACUCGGCAAAAUGACCCCGUAACUUCGGGAGAAGGGGUGCUCUUUAGGGUUAACGCCCAGAAGAGCCGCAGUGAAUAGGCCCAAGCGACUGUUUAUCAAAAACACAGGUCUCUGCUAAACCGUAAGGUGAUGUAUAGGGGCUGACGCCUGCCCGGUGCUGGAAGGUUAAGAGGAGUGGUUAGCUUCUGCGAAGCUACGAAUCGAAGCCCCAGUAAACGGCGGCCGUAACUAUAACGGUCCUAAGGUAGCGAAAUUCCUUGUCGGGUAAGUUCCGACCCGCACGAAAGGCGUAACGAUUUGGGCACUGUCUCAACGAGAGACUCGGUGAAAUCAUAGUACCUGUGAAGAUGCAGGUUACCCGCGACAGGACGGAAAGACCCCGUGGAGCUUUACUGUAGCCUGAUAUUGAAAUUCGGCACAGCUUGUACAGGAUAGGUAGGAGCCUUUGAAACGUGAGCGCUAGCUUACGUGGAGGCGCUGGUGGGAUACUACCCUAGCUGUGUUGGCUUUCUAACCCGCACCACUUAUCGUGGUGGGAGACAGUGUCAAGCGGGCAGUUUGACUGGGGCGGUCGCCUCCUAAAAGGUAACGGAGGCGCUCAAAGGUUCCCUCAGAAUGGUUGGAAAUCAUUCAUAGAGUGUAAAGGCAUAAGGGAGCUUGACUGCGAGACCUACAAGUCGAGCAGGGUCGAAAGACGGACUUAGUGAUCCGGUGGUUCCGCAUGGAAGGGCCAUCGCUCAACGGAUAAAAGCUACCCCGGGGAUAACAGGCUUAUCUCCCCCAAGAGUUCACAUCGACGGGGAGGUUUGGCACCUCGAUGUCGGCUCAUCGCAUCCUGGGGCUGUAGUCGGUCCCAAGGGUUGGGCUGUUCGCCCAUUAAAGCGGUACGCGAGCUGGGUUCAGAACGUCGUGAGACAGUUCGGUCCCUAUCCGUCGUGGGCGUAGGAAAUUUGAGAGGAGCUGUCCUUAGUACGAGAGGACCGGGAUGGACAUACCUCUGGUGUACCAGUUGUCGUGCCAACGGCAUAGCUGGGUAGCUAUGUGUGGACGGGAUAAGUGCUGAAAGCAUCUAAGCAUGAAGCCCCCCUCAAGAUGAGAUUUCCCAACUUCGGUUAUAAGAUC
rnacentral:rRNA from 2 species